rnacentral:misc_RNA from 1 species
CCUAGAGUUGUAGGCUUUGCCUGCUAUCUCUUACCCAUGUCUUUUGAGUACCUUACGUUUCCUCGGCGGGUCCGCCCGCCGAUUGGACAUACUUAAACCCUUUGCAGUUGAAAUCAGCGUCUGAAAAAACUUAAUAGUUA